ensembl:lncRNA
AGGAGUUGGUCCAAUGACCUGGGCUGCAGACUUCCAGAUCUCAUGACCUACUGAGGCUGGAUGUAACCUUUGCCACCAGCAGCAUCCCUGCAGGCCAGUACAUUCCCACUGGCAGAAAUCAAACAGCAGACAAAGAAGCAAUAGAAUAUUGUCUGUGUCUUCUUUUCACUGUUGUUAUUUUCUUUUCUCUUUAUCAGGUGAUGAGAUCUUGUGUUUGCAGUGGGCACUAGCUAUAGACUGUCUGAAUACUGCAAUUGAAACGGAGUAGAAUGGAGAGGAUGAAUCCUGGAAGAAAGGUUGGAGUAGUGAAGAGAAAUUUUUAUGGGUCAGAAAAUGAGGUUUGCAGCCAUUUGGCCAAGUGUAAUAGAACAUGCCUUAAUGACGAGACAAAUGAUAUCUCCUCCUUCUAGCAUUCUCAAGGAGUGCCAGCAAAAGCUUCCUCUGAGAGAGUGAAAAUCUAAGAACUUCCUUGGGGCACUCAGAGCUGCCCUCUGGAAACACCGCUGACUUAGCGAAACCUGAACGUGACAUCACCUGCCCACCCUAUCAUCACACCUCUCAAAUCAUCCUUGAGAAGGAUGGAGUCCCCACAGUGGGCACAAGCUGGUUGCUGAGGGGGUGUAACUAGCCUCUAAAACAACGUAGAACCAGUGAAGAACUUUCUAACUGAAAACUGCCUGAGAGAGAAGUCCAACAGGCUCCGUACAUGGACGAGAAAACUGAACCCAGAGACAGGGCGGGAAAAGGAGAAAGAAGGCAACUAAGACCUAGGAAGUGCAUGGUUGUGCCUAGGCUCUGGGACGAAGCCAGGGCUUGCACAGAGGUUAACUCUCCCUGAUCCUUAGUCACUCCAAAGAGGUGUGACUUUGGAAAAGAUCAUGCAGGCUCUCAUCUGCAAAACGAUGAUCAAGUACCUUGUGGGGUACUUUACAAGACUGAAUGGGUAGUUUAUGUGAACGUCUAGCACAGAAAGCUGGGUGGUCAGAACAUCACUGACUCACCAAUCAGAACAUCACACGGCUUUUCUCAAAAACUUCCAGCAGCUUCCAUCCCACAGGAAUAAGUCUCCUCGGCCUGUUCCCCCUGUAAAUGCCCCUCCACACACAGAUCUUUUAACCCCAUCCUGAUCCUCUUGGCUCCUGCUGUCCCUGAGGCAUCCACCUGAGACCACCUCACUUAAAAUGCAGUUCCUCACCCCCAUCCUCUCCUCAACGCCGUGGCUCUCCUCUGCUUUUUUAUUCUCCAAGGCACUUACCACCAUCUAAAAUAUCCUAUGUAUUUUCAUUUAUUUUCUAACCUCCCUUGACCCUGGAAAGUUAAACUGUGAGGACAGGAACUUGGUUUGUUUGUUUUUUGUGCUUGCUGAAUCCCCAGCACUACUAGAUGCUCAAUAAAUAUUUGCUAAAUGAA